UACGGAGGGAGCUAGCGUUGUUCGGAAUUACUGGGCGUAAAGCGCACGUAGGCGGCUUUUUAAGUCAGGGGUGAAAUCCCGGGGCUCAACCCCGGAACUGCCCUUGAAACUGGAGAGCUAGAAUCUUGGAGAGGCGAGUGGAAUUCCGGGUGUAGCGGUGGAAUGCGUAGAGAUCCGGAGGAACACCAGCGGCGAAGGCGGCAUCCUGGACUGGUACUGACGCUCAUGAGCGAAAGCGUGGGGAGCGAUCGGG
rnacentral:rRNA from 1 species